GUCUGAGAUGGCUCAACUGGUAGAGCAGGGGACUCAAUCUCAGGGUCGUGGGUUCGAGCCCCGCUUUGGGCA